GAUACAAAUAACCCACUAGUCGUAACUAACCAGGAAUGUCCGUUACGAAUAAUUUUUCAAAGUAAACCCUAACUUUUUAAUUUCCCCUUUCUCAUCAAUCUCUCUCAUCAAAAUAUUUCCCCUUUCUCUCUCCAAUAAUAUUGAAGCUCAGUUCGAACCUCAGCUCCCCGAACUCCGGCUUAUCCUGAGCUCGUCCUUUCCAAACUCUGGUGGUCCUCAGCUCCCUCAACUCCGGUCGUUCCUCAGCUCGGUCCUCUCCAAACUCCGGUGCGCUCUCUCGUCGCGACUCAGCUGCGCUCUCUCCAUUGAAGCAGCGCUCUCUACUCCCUCUCUCACGCAGCUGCGCUCUCUCCAUUGAAGCAGCUCAAGCUCUCCCUUCCUGCUCAAGAAUCUCCCAUCAAUAGCUUCUUGUAAGCUCAAUUUGAUGCUAUCUUUCUCUCUCCUCCCCCAAUUUCGUAACCCUUGUUUAAAUUUGCUUAAUUGGAAUUACUAAAUUAUAGGCUUUUUUUUUUUAAAAAAAAAAAAUUCCGAUUUAAUUGAUUGAUUUUACAUGUUUAAUUUGAUUUUUUCCAUUCGGUGGAAAUAAAUCUUAAAUUCAUAAUGUUUUAGAUGGAUUCGAAUUAAGAUUCUAAUUUAUUUCUGGCUGAAAAGUCCAUUUGAUUUUUCAUAAAUAAAAUCAUGGUUAAAGCUCAACUAUAUAGCAAGAUUGAAAAAGGUAGAUUGAUAUACUCUAUAGUAGAUGUCUGUAGUAUAACUUUGCAUUUUACUAGAUGGAAAUGCGAGGGGUAACACGGGAUUGUAAUUAUGAAAGGGUGUUAUAAAUAAUACUGUUAUUAUAAUAAUAUUGAAUGGUAAAAUAAUUAUUUCAGGAAUAAAAGGGGAAAGCCAGUGAUAAUUGAUGUGGCUUUUUUGGUGGGCUGUUAAGCAAAGGGGUCUUGUUAUAACUCUUUGGUUUGUGGGGGAUUUCUCCUAAAUUCUGUAGUAUUUCUUGUAGCGCUUGAAUUUUUUGGGGUGUGUUGUUGUUGUUGUUGUUGAGGUUUUUGUUAUAACUAACCAGGUGUGGUGUGGAUUGUUGAACUCUAUGUGUGCUGUAGUUGGUUUUUGCAGAAUCAGGAGUCCUCGAGAUCGUAGAAUGCGAUCUCAACACCCUUCUUUUCGUGAUGUUCCAUAUAGGAGAGAUGCACGUCGGGGUUUCAGUGUCUGUCUUCCUUUUGCGCAAGCGACCUCACCAGUCCUUCAGUUUCAAGGGCAGUAAAGACACCAAGCAGGGAUUUAACAUGCUUUACUAGUGACAGGAACGUUGAUGUAGAUGAGUAUGACAAGUACUCAUCUGCUAAACAAAAAGAAGGGGCAGCUUUUCAAUGAGCCUAAUUUACAUAACUUGUUUUCUGGACAUUAUUCAGACACUAUCACCAAGGAUACAUAUAGCAAGGACCAGGAGUCUGAGUGUGCUGCUUGGAAUACAAAAGCUCUGCUUGCUUUGGGUGGUGAAGUUUUCUGUUUUCUGUUGCUCUCGAUUGCUGCUGUUGCUACUGGCCUACUGUUGUUUUGCUUAUAAUGUAUUUCCUAACUAAAUUUUGUAAUCAAUAGUGUUUUGGACUUCUUAAUAGGAGAGUUUAUAAUUAGCAUACAAAAUUGGAUUUGGUGUAUAUGUUAUGUUAGAUAAUGUUUGUGGCAUGAAAUAUUUGGGUUUGUUAUAAAUUAUUAUAAUAA